rnacentral:rRNA from 1 species
UGAGGAAUAUUGGUCAAUGGGCGUAAGCCUGAACCAGCCAAGUCGCGUGAGGGAAGAAUGUCCUAUGGAUUGUAAACCUCUUUUGUCGGGGAGCAAAUGGAUCACGUGUGGUUCUGCGAGAGUACCCGAAGAAAAAGCAUCGGCUAACUCCGUGCCAGCAGCCGCGGUAAUACGGAGGAUGCGAGCGUUAUCCGGAUUUAUUGGGUUUAAAGGGUGCGUAGGCGGCGUCUUAAGUCAGCGGUAAAAUAGAGAGGCUCAACCUCUUUCCGCCGUUGAAACUGGGAUGCUCGAGUGGGCGAGAAGUAUGCGGAAUGCGUGGUGUAGCGGUGAAAUGCAUAGAUAUCACGCAGAACUCCGAUUGCGAAGGCAGCAUACCGGCGCCCAACUGACGCUGAAGCACGAAAGCGUGGGUAUCGAACAGG